CACAUCAGUUCAAACAGACAACUGCUUUCCUGUAGGGACAGUGUAGGGAAAGCAUCUGUCUUGGCAGGCGAGUCUCACGUGUGGAGAUGUGGUGGACUAGCCGCUGCGGGUUACCCACGGAGUGAAGCGUUCGAUGCUUGCUAAGAUAGAUGAGCUAUAGGUAGUUAGAGACAUAUUAUUAGUUAGGGACAUAUUAGGGACAGUAGCAGUAGUUAUG